CCCUUAGAUGUUCUGGGCGGCCCGCGCACUACAUUGGCACUCUCAAUAAGUUCCUAGAUCUAAAACUUUGGGGUAUUCUAUUAAGUGGUGUCGUGACUGGGAUUAACCCUUGCAAUUAUUGGUUACGAACGAGGAAUUCCUUGUAAUCGCGGUUUAUCAGCCCGCGUUGAAUGCGUCCCUGCCCUUUGUACACACCGCCCGUCGCUCCUACCGAUGAAUCGUCCGGUGAAGUUCAUGGAGUGGUGGUUGUUCCAGCUGCUGUCGAAGUGAAAUGGACCCCACGAUUUAGAGGAAGGAGAAGUCGUAACA
rnacentral:rRNA from 1 species